rnacentral:rRNA from 1 species
UACAGAGGGGGCAAGCGUUAUUCGGAAUUAUUGGGCGUAAAGGGCGCGUAGGCGGCCACCGCAAGUCGACUGUGAAAUCUCCGGGCUUAACCCGGAACGGUCAGCCGAUACUGCGGGGCUAGAGUGCAGAAGGGGCAACUGGAAUUCUCGGUGUAGCGGUGAAAUGCGUAGAUAUCGUAAGGAAGACCAGUGGCGAAGGCGGGUCUCUGGACAGUUCCUGACGCUGAGGCACGAAGGCCAGGGGAGCAAACGGG